AGACGUCUACAUUAGAUACCCCUGUAGUCCUAGCCGUAAACGAUACUCGCUAGGUGUCGGCCACGGUGCGACCGUUGUCGGUGCCGUAGGGAAGCCGUGAAGCGAGCCACCUGGGAAGUACGGCCGCAAGGCUGAAACUUAAGGAAUUGGCGGGGAGCACCACAACAGGUGGAGCCUGCGGUUUAAUUGGACUCAACGCCGGGAAGCUCACCGGAUAGGACAGCAGAAUGAUUGCCGGGCUGAAGACCCUGCAUGACUAGCUG
rnacentral:rRNA from 1 species